UACGUAGGGUGCGAGCGUUGUCCGGAAUUAUUGGGCGUAAAGAGCUUGUAGGUGGCUCGUCGCGUACGGGAGUGAAAACCCGCGGCUUAACCGCGGGCCUGCUUUCGAUACGGGCAGGCUAGAGGUUCGGCAGGGGAGACUGGAAUUCCUGGUGUAGCGGUGGAAUGCGCAGAUAUCAGGAGGAACACCGGUGGCGAAGGCGGGUCUCUGGGCCGAUACUGACACUGAGAAGCGAAAGCGUGGGGAGCGAACAGGA
rnacentral:rRNA from 1 species